UGAUGUUUUUAAUUCAAGUUCUGAUUCGAGUUCAUCUGAUUCCGAUUCCAAUUCCGAUUCUGA
rnacentral:sRNA from 1 species